AGGACGAACGCUGGCGGCGUGCUUAACACAUGCAAGUCGAGCGGAAAGGCCCUUCGGGGUACUCGAGCGGCGAACGGGUGAGUAACACGUGAGCAAUCUGCCCUUAGCUUCGGGAUAGCCCCGGGAAACCGGGAUUAAUACCGAAUACGACCUCGGCCGACAUCGGCUUUGGUGGAAAGUUUUUCGGCUAGGGAUGAACUCGCGGCCUAUCAGCUUGUUGGUGGGGUAAUGGCCUACCAAGGCGACGACGGGUAGCCGGCCUGAGAGGGCGACCGGCCACACUGGGACUGAGACACGGCCCAGACUCCUACGGGAGGCAGCAGUGGGGAAUAUUGCGCAAUGGGCGAAAGCCUGACGCAGCGACGCCGCGUGGGGGAUGAAGGCCUUCGGGUUGUAAACCCCUUUCAGCAGGGACGAAGCGAGAGUGACGGUACCUGCAGAAGAAGCGCCGGCUAACUACGUGCCAGCACGCCGC
rnacentral:rRNA from 1 species